rnacentral:tRNA from 1 species
UGCCGGAUCGUCUAAUGGUAGGACGCUGGUUUCUGGCACCAGUAAUCGGGGUUCGAAUCCCUGUCCGGCAA